CUGGCUCAGGACGAACGCUGGCGGCGUGCUUAACACAUGCAAGUCGAACGGUGAAGCCCUUCGGGGUGGAUCAGUGGCGAACGGGUGAGUAACACGCUGGGAAAUCUGCCCUGCACUCUGGGACAAGCCUUGGAAACGAGGUCUAAUACCGGAUAUGACCUGCUCCUGCAUGGGAGUGGGUGGAAAGCUCCGGCGGUGCAGGAUGAUCCCGCGGCCUAUCAGCUUGUUGGUGGGGUAAUGGCCUACCAAGGCGACGACGGGUAGCCGGCCUGAGAGGGCGACCGGCCACACUGGGACUGAGACACGGCCCAGACUCCUACGGGAGGCAGCAGUGGGGAAUAUUGCACAAUGGGCGAAAGCCUGAUGCAGCGACGCCGCGUGAGGGAUGACGGCCUUCGGGUUGUAAACCUCUUUCAGCAGGGAAGAAGCGCAAGUGACGGUACCUGCAGAAGAAGCACCGGCUAACUACGUGCCAGCAGCCGCGGUAAUACGUAGGGUGCGAGCGUUGUCCGGAAUUAUUGGGCGUAAAGAGCUCGUAGGCGGCCUGUCGCGUCGGAUGUGAAAGCCCGGGGCUUAACCCCGGGUCUGCAUUCGAUACGGGCAGGCUAGAGUGUGGUAGGGGAGAUCGGA
rnacentral:rRNA from 1 species